UCUUCUUCAACUCCAAAGCUUCAUCAACAGCCCCUCUGCCACACAACCCUCUAAUAACUACAUUAUAGGUAACUGUAUUCGGACUACAACCCUUCUCUCCCAUCUCAAAUAGAAUCCUUUUAGCCUCGCUGACAUUGCCAACCCUGAAAUGAGCACUGAUCAAACUAGUAUAAGUAUAUAUAUCAAAAUCCAUUUUCUUCUCCAUCAUUCCUUCGUAAACUUCCCAGAGUAACUCCAUUCUAUUACACCUCAACAAAUCAUUCAGUAAAGAAUUACAACACAACAAACUGAUUGCAAAAUCAGCAUUUUUGACACCUAAAAACACAGAAACAGCCUCACUCAACAUUCCCCUUUUCCUGUACACAUCGAUCAACAACUCAAACACGACAGAACUUGAUCUAAACCUCUCACAUUCCUUAUAAACAUUCAAAAUUGAGCUACGAAUAUCAAAAACCGAAACCCGGGCAUCCACCAACUUGCUCAACAAAUCAAUGGCAGGUAAAUAAAUUUUAGAACUGCAUAAAACUAAUGCGAGAAUUGAAAAGGAAUGAAGAUCUUGAAAGGUACCCAGAUGAUUAGUUGACCAGUUGAAGAAAUCAAGGAGGCGCUUCGGAUGAAUCGAAAAAUCAGUUCUUUGCAGGACUGAAUGCAUCACAUCACUGUUAAUUCUUUGUGGAAUAUGUGAGGAUUCCAAUAAAUAUUUCCAAUUACUGUGCUUCAGAAUCAUAGUGAUUUCUUCAACUGUGGCUUCAUUUUCAGCAGAAAUUUGGUCAAAUUUUAUGGAAACACAAAGAUGCCUUGUUUUAUUGAUUAUAUGGUUUUGCGCGAUGUACAAGGCACAGGCUUUAUUUGAGAAUAAUGCCAUCAUUUUUAAGCUUUAUUUCUUUUGUGGGGGAAUUUAUACGUGAGAUUAGAGCAGCUCCAUGUCUAUGCUGGAGAAGAAUGCGAGUGCAGGGUAUGAAAAGCCGGUUUUUUUUUUUUUUUUUUUUUUU
rnacentral:lncRNA from 1 species